rnacentral:rRNA from 1 species
AGAGAGGAGCUUGCUCUUCUUGGAUGAGUUGCGAACGGGUGAGUAACGCGUAGGUAACCUGCCUUGUAGCGGGGGAUAACUAUUGGAAACGAUAGCUAAUACCGCAUAACAAUGGAUGACACAUGUCAUUUAUUUGAAAGGGGCAAUUGCUCCACUACAAGAUGGACCUGCGUUGUAUUAGCUAGUAGGUGAGGUAAUGGCUCACCUAGGCGACGAUACAUAGCCGACCUGAGAGGGUGAUCGGCCACACUGGGACUGAGACACGGCCCAGACUCCUACGGGAGGCAGCAGUAGGGAAUCUUCGGCAAUGGGGGCAACCCUGACCGAGCAACGCCGCGUGAGUGAAGAAGGUUUUCGGAUCGUAAAGCUCUGUUGUAAGUCAAGAACGGGUGUGAGAGUGGAAAGUUCACACUGUGACGGUAGCUUACCAGAAAGGGACGGCUAACUACGUGCCAGCAGCCGCGGUAAUACGUAGGUCCCGAGCGUUGUCCGGAUUUAUUGGGCGUAAAGCGAGCGCAGGCGGUUUGAUAAGUCUGAAGUUAAAGGCUGUGGCUCAACCAUAGUUCGCUUUGGAAACUGUCAAACUUGAGUGCAGAAGGGGAGAGUGGAAUUCCAUGUGUAGCGGUGAAAUGCGUAGAUAUAUGGAGGAACACCGGUGGCGAAAGCGGCUCUCUGGUCUGUAACUGACGCUGAGGCUCGA